rnacentral:rRNA from 1 species
AUUGAACGCUGGCGGCAUGCUUUACACAUGCAAGUCGAACGGCAGCGGGGACUUCGGUCCGCCGGCGAGUGGCGAACGGGUGAGUAAUGCAUCGGAACGUGCCUAUCAGUGGGGGAUAACGCUUCGCAAGGAGUGCUAAUACCGCAUAUUCUCUGAGGAGGAAAGCAGGGGACCUUCGGGCCUUGCGCUGAUAGAGCGGCCGAUGUCGGAUUAGCUAGUUGGUGAGGUAAAGGCUCACCAAGGCGACGAUCCGUAGCGGGUCUGAGAGGAUGAUCCGCCACACUGGGACUGGGAGACGGCCCAGACUCCUACGGGAGGCAGCAGUGGGGAAUUUUGGACAAUGGGCGAAAGCCUGAUCCAGCCAUGCCGCGUGAGUGAAGAAGGCCUUCGGGUUGUAAAGCUCUUUUGUCCGGGAGGAAAUCCUGGCCUCUAAUACAGGUCGGGGAUGACAGUACUGGAAGAAUAAGCACCGGCUAACUACGUGCCAGCAGCCGCAGUAA